rnacentral:rRNA from 1 species
ACGGAAGGCAGCAGUGGGGAAUAUUGGGCAAUGGGCGCAAGCCUGACCCAGCAACGCCGCGUGAAGGAAGAAGGUCUUCGGAUUGUAAACUUCUUUUAUGAGGGACGAAGGACGUGAAGGUACCUCAUGAAUAAGCCACGGCUAACUACGUGCCAGCAGCCGCGGUAAUACGUAGGUGGCAAGCGUUAUCCGGAUUUACUGGGUGUAAAGGGCGCGUAGGCGGGGAUGCAAGUCAGAUGUGAAAUCUAUGGGCUCAACUCAUAAACUGCAUUUGAAACUGGAUCUCUUGAGUGCAGGAGAGGUAGAUGGAAUUCCUUGUGUAGCGGUGAAAUGCGUAGAUAUAAGGAAGAACACCUGUGGCGAAGGCGAUCUACUGGACAGUAACUGACGCUGAGGCGCGAGAGCGUGGGGAGCAAACAGGAUUAGAUACCCUGGUA